rnacentral:rRNA from 1 species
CAGCCGCCGCGGUAAUACCGGCGGCCCGAGUGGCGGUCACUAUUAUUGGGCUUAAAGCGUCCGUAGCCGGGUUGGGAAGUCCUCCGGGAAAUCUGGCCGCUUAACGGUCAGAAUGCCGGAGGAUACUCCCAGCCUAGGGAGCGGGAGAGGCCGAGGGUAUUCCCGGAGCAGGGGUGAAAUCCUAUAAUCCCGGGAGGACCACCUGUGGCGAAGGCGCUCGGCUGGAACGCGUCCGACGGUGAGGGACGAAGGCCAGGGGAGCAAACCGGAUUAGAUACCCGGGUAGUCCUGGCUGUAAACGAUGCGGACUUUGUGUCGGACAAGCUAUGAGCUUGUCCGGUGCCGGAGGGAAACCGUUAAGUCCGCCGCCUGGGGAGUACGGCCGCAAGGCUGAAACUUAAAGGAAUUGGCGGG